rnacentral:sRNA from 1 species
GAAAUUGGGUAUUCUUUUUCCAGCUCUACAUAAAGAUGGAACAAGAAGUUCAUGAGCCGAAGAAUGUGGUAGCCUCUACAAGCUUGAAUGGCAAGGAAAGGGAUUCUUUCCUAGAGCCUCCAGAAAGGAAUGUCAUCCAGUCCAAUACCUGGCCUUGAUCUUAGCAUAUUAAGACCCAUGUCAACACUCCUGACAUGCAAAACUGUAAGGUGUACUAGCCCUCUCUUGGUACCCACCUGAUGUAAAUGAUGAAAAUGGAGAACCUACUGAUAACUUGGUACCCACUAUUUUGGAUAAAGCUCAUAAAUAUAACCUAAAGGUUACUUUUCACAUAGAACCAUAUAGCAAUCGAGAUGAUCAAAACAUGUACAAAAAUGUCAAGUAUAUUAUAGACAAAUAUGGAAAUCAUCCGGCCUUUUACAGGUACAAGACGAAGACUGGCAAUGCUCUUCCUAUGUUUUAUGUCUAUGAUUCCUAUAUUGCCAAGCCUGAAAAAUGGGCCAAUCUGUUAACCACCUCAGGGUCUUGGAGUAUUCGCAAUUCUCCUUAUGAUGGAUUGUUUAUUGCCCUUCUGGUAGAAGAAAAACAUAAGUAUGAUAUUCUUCAAAGUGGUUUUGAUGGAAUUUACACAUAUUUUGCCACAAAUGGCUUUACUUAUGGCUCAUCACAUCA